AGAGUUUGAUCCUGGCUCAGGACGAACGCUGGCGGCGUGCCUAACACAUGCAAGUCGAACGGAGAAUUUUAUUUCGGUAGAAUUCUUAGUGGCGAACGGGUGAGUAACGCGUAGGCAACCUGCCCUUUAGACGGGGACAACAUUCCGAAAGGAGUGCUAAUACCGGAUGUGAUCAUCUUGCCGCAUGGCAGGAUGAAGAAAGAUGGCCUCUACAAGUAAGCUAUCGCUAAAGGAUGGGCCUGCGUCUGAUUAGCUAGUUGGUAGUGUAACGGACUACCAAGGCGAUGAUCAGUAGCCGGUCUGAGAGGAUGAACGGCCACAUUGGGACUGAGACACGGCCCAAACUCCUACGGGAGGCAGCAGUGGGGAAUCUUCCGCAAUGGACGAAAGUCUGACGGAGCAACGCCGCGUGAGUGAUGAAGGAUUUCGGUCUGUAAAGCUCUGUUGUUUAUGACGAACGUGCAGUGUGUGAACAAUGCAUUGCAAUGACGGUAGUAAACGAGGAAGCCACGGCUAACUACGUGCCAGCAGCCGCGGUAAUACGUAGGUGGCGAGCGUUGUCCGGAAUUAUUGGGCGUAAAGAGCAUGUAGGCGGCUUAAUAAGUCGAGCGUGAAAAUGCGGGGCUCAACCCCGUAUGGCGCUGGAAACUGUUAGGCUUGAGUGCAGGAGAGGAAAGGGGAAUUCCCAGUGUAGCGGUGAAAUGCGUAGAUAUUGGGAGGAACACCAGUGGCGAAGGCGCCUUUCUGGACUGUGUCUGACGCUGAGAUGCGAAAGCCAGGGUAGCGAACGGGAUUAGAUACCCCGGUAGUCCUGGCCGUAAACGAUGGGUACUAGGUGUAGGAGGUAUCGACCCCUUCUGUGCCGGAGUUAACGCAAUAAGUACCCCGCCUGGGGAGUACGGCCGCAAGGUUGAAACUCAAAGGAAUUGACGGGGGCCCGCACAAGCGGUGGAGUAUGUGGUUUAAUUCGACGCAACGCGAAGAACCUUACCAA
rnacentral:rRNA from 1 species